rnacentral:rRNA from 1 species
GACAGAGGCCCCGAGCGUUAGGCGGAAUCACUGGGCUUAAAGCGUGUGUAGGCGGACCGGUAAGUACCUCGGUGAAAUCCCACGGCUCACCCGUGGAACCGCUGGGUAUACUGCCGGCCUUGGGCCACUUAGGGGCAACCGGAACAAGCGGUGGAGCGGUGAAAUGCGUAGAUAUCGCUUGGAACGCCGAAGGUGAAAACAGGUUGCUGGGAGUGCGCCGACGCUGAGACACGAAAGCCAGGGGAGCGAACGGG